GAAAUAAUAAAAAAAAUUAAAGGAAUUAAAAAAAAUCCACAAUAAACCUUAAAAGAAUCUUUAAAAAAUCCUAAAGAAAUAUUAAAAUAAUGACAAAUAUAUCUUAAAAAAUCUCAAUCAAAUCCUAAUUUAAUUCUAAUUGAAAUCCUAAUAGAUUUCAAUCAAAUCCUAGGACAAAUCUUAAAUCCUAAGUAAAUUCCAAAUCCUAAAUCCUAAAUCAAAUUCUAAAAUCUAAAUCAGUCCUAAAUUCUAACCAAAUCCUAAUCAAAUCCUAAAUCUUAAUCCAAUCCUAACUCGAAACCAAAUCCUAAUCAAAACCUAAUCAACUCAAUAUAAUCCUACUACAGUUUAAAAUCUCAAUAUUUAUUGAUUAAACUAUUGAUUUUACUUAAGAUUUUAUACACUUCUUAAUAAUUAAGUUGGAAAUAAGUAUAUAAAAUUUGAAGAGAAAAAAACUUAUCAAAUAGAAGAAAAUUAUCAAAAUCCGCUCAGGUAUUGACAAGCCUCCUUUUUCAACCUUGAUACUAGUCUUCUA
rnacentral:lncRNA from 1 species